rnacentral:rRNA from 2 species
UUCUGUAGGUGAACCUGCGGAGGGAUCAUUACCGAGUUUACAACUCCCAAACCCAAUGUGAACGUUACCAAACUGUUGCCUCGGCGGGGUCACGCCCCGGGUGCGUCGCAGCCCCGGAACCAGGCGCCCGCCGGAGGAACCAACCAAACUCUUUCUGUAGUCCCCUCGCGGACGUAUUUCUUACAGCUCUGAGCAAAAAUUCAAAAUGAAUCAAAACUUUCAACAACGGAUCUCUUGGUUCUGGCAUCGAUGAAGAACGCAGCGAAAUGCGAUAAGUAAUGUGAAUUGCAGAAUUCAGUGAAUCAUCGAAUCUUUGAACGCACAUUGCGCCCGCCAGUAUUCUGGCGGGCAUGCCUGUCCGAGCGUCAUUUCAACCCUCGAACCCCUCCGGGGGAUCGGCGUUGGGGAUCGGGACCCCUCACACGGGUGCCGGCCCCGAAAUACAGUGGCGGUCUCGCCGCAGCCUCUCCUGCGCAGUAGUUUGCACAACUCGCACCGGGAGCGCGGCGCGUCCACGUCCGUAAAACACCCAACUUUCUGAAAUGUUGACCUCGGAUCAGGUAGGAAUACCCGCUGAACUUAAGCAUAUCAAUAAGCGGAGGA